rnacentral:rRNA from 1 species
UACAGAGGUCCCAAGCGUUGUUCGGAUUCACUUGGGCGGUAAAGGGUGCGUAGGUGGCCGGGUAAGUCUGACGUUGAAAUCUCCGAGCCUAACUCGGAAACUGCAUCGGAUACUAUCCGGCUUGAGGGUUGGAGGGGGGGACUGGAAUACUUGGGUGUAGCAGUGAAAUGCGUAGAUAAUCAAGUGGAACACCAGUGGCGAAGGCGAGUCCCUGGACAACUCCUGACACUGAGGCAACGAAAGCUAGGGGAGCAAACAGG